CCCUUAGAUGUUCUGGGCCGCACGCGCGCUACACUGACUGGUGCAACAAGUGUCGCUCCUUGGCCGACAGGCCCGGGCAAUCUUUGAACGCUGGUCGUGAUGGGGAUAGACUUUUGCAAUUUUUGGUCUUCAACGAGGAAUUCCUAGUAAACGCAAGUCAUCAACUUGCAUUGAUUACGUCCAUGCCCUUUGUACACACCGCCCGUCGCACCUACCGAUUGAAUGGUCCGGUGAAGCCUCCGGAUUGGCGCGCACCUCGGUGCCGCCGAGAAGUUGGCUAAACCUUACCAUUUAGAGGAAGGUGAAGUCGUAACA
rnacentral:rRNA from 1 species